AUUGAACGCUGGCGGUAUGCUUAAGACAUGCAAGUCGAACGGUAACAGACCUUCGGGUGCUGACGAGUGGCGGACGGGUGAGUAACACGUGGGAAUCUACCUUGUAGUGGGGGAUAAGCCAGGGAAACUUGGACUAAUACCGCAUACGCCCUAAGGGGGAAAGGCGCAAGUCGCUAUAAGAUGAGCCCGCGUCUGAUUAGCUAGUUGGUGAGGUAAAGGCUCACCAAGGCGACGAUCAGUAGCUGGUCUGAGAGGAUGACCAGCCACAUUGGGACUGAGACACGGCCCAGACUCCUACGGGAGGCAGCAGUCGGGAAUAUUGGACAAUGGGGCAACCCUGAUCCAGCAAUACCGCGUGUGUGAAGAAGGCCUGCGGGUUGUAAAGCACUUUUAGUAGGGAAGAUAAUGACGUU
rnacentral:rRNA from 1 species